CAGUAGCCGCGGUAAUACAGAGGGUGCGAGCGUUAAUCGGAUUUACUGGGCGUAAAGCGUGCGUAGGCGGCUUCUUAAGUCGGAUGUGAAAUCCCUGAGCUUAACUUAGGAAUUGCAUUCGAUACUGGGAAGCUAGAGUAUGGGAGAGGAUGGUAGAAUUCCAGGUGUAGCGGUGAAAUGCGUAGAGAUCUGGAGGAAUACCGAUGGCGAAGGCAGCCAUCUGGCCUAAUACUGACGCUGAGGUACAAAAGCAUGGGGAGCAAACAGGAUUAGAUACCCCCGUAGUCCCUGUCUCUUAUAC
rnacentral:rRNA from 1 species